rnacentral:rRNA from 1 species
UACGUAGGGUGCAAGCGUUAAUCGGAAUUACUGGGCGUAAAGCGCGCGCAGGCGGUUUCGCAAGUCUGACGUGAAAGCCCCGGGCUCAACCCGGGAAUUGCGUUGGAGACUGCAAGGCUAGAAUCUGGCAGAGGGGGGUAGAAUUCCACGUGUAGCAGUGAAAUGCGUAGAGAUGUGGAGGAACACCGAUGGCGAAGGCAGCCCCCUGGGUCAAGAUUGACGCUGAUGCACGAAAGCGUGGGGAGCAAACAGG